rnacentral:rRNA from 2 species
UACGAGAGGCCCAAACGUUAUUCGGAUUUACUGGGCUUAAAGAGUUCGUAGGCGGCGCGGAAAGUAGGGUGUGAAAGCCCUCGGCUUAACCGAGGAAUUGCGCCCUAAACUGUCGCGCUCGAGGAACCUAGAGGUGAGCAGAACUGAUGGUGGAGCGGUGAAAUGCGUUGAUAUCAUCAGGAAUACCGGAGGCGAAGGCGGCUCACUGGGGGUUAUCUGACGCUGAGGAACGAAAGCCAGGGGAGCAAACGGG